UUAAAAUUUGUUGAGGAAUUGAUAUCAAAACGUGGGAAAGUCGAUCUCAAGUAGACUCCAUGUCAAAUUCAAAUCUGCUUGCAGAAUUCUUAUCGUUUCACUAGAUCAAUAGGUACGUUGGAAAUAAAACACGUCUAAAUCCCUAUAUCUCACGUGUGUGUAAGACAAAUACAGAAACUCGUCGCUUCCAAUUCCCUUAAGCAUUUAGUAUACCAACAUAAUAUGCUGCACUCGCUGCCGAGAGGGCUUAAAAAAUACACCUUCGUAGACUGUUUGCAAAAAAAAAAAAAUAUCAACCAAAUCGAUUAUUAUUUAAUACAGUUACGUAAUAUAACGAUAUUUUGUACGUCGAAUUUCAAAAACCUACGUCCUACAAAACACCAUCUCGCCGUCGCGACGCGUCACCGAAUAAAAAUUCCUGUGUAGUAACUUUGACGAUAAACAAUUAUUACUCGUUGUACUAGUUGUACAAGUAGAAAUCGAAAUGUCUAAUUAUAGACAUAGAUAAUACACAAUGGAUAGACAAUCGUUUUUUGGAAUGUGCAAAAGAGAUUGUCUUUCGUGUCUCUCUAGCUGAGGGUUGACAGCUUUGAGGCUAUGUUCAAACAACUAAGAUAUGGUUUUAAAGUAGUUAAGAAAAUUCCAAGUACUAUUGUCGCAUACCUAAUGUUGAGCUAAUGUUUUAUUAUUUUUAAAAAAAAUUGUCUUACAACUUACAAAUAGUUUUGAAUAAAAAAUGAUGUCAAAUAUUUCGACAUAACCUCAAAACACCUUCGACUAGAGGGAUAAGUCUUUUUCAUUCCGGAACGUCGAUGCGUCCGUUAUUAGAAUGCGAUCGACCUAUCCAUUUUUUUCAUUAUCUAUGAUUAUAGUGCGUAAUUACCAUUGAUUGGCUUGAUUAAUAACGUCAAUAACACAAAAAUAUGUAUUUUUAUAAUAUCGUUAUAUAUCCGCGUUUUUAUUUAUAUUAUUUACAAUUUUUUUAUUUUAAACUCUAGAAAAAAGAACCGAUCGACUAUAGGUAAUCGAUAAUGCUCACAUAUUAUAUAGAUCCCAUAUGUAGUUCAAGUGGUUUACCUCGCGCACUUUAAUGAGGAAAUAUAUAAGUGCCUAUACUGCAGCAAUGUGUCUUUUGUUCUUAAUAACCAUUAUCAGUCAUUAAAAAAAAUUAUAUACAC